rnacentral:rRNA from 1 species
UACCAGCACCCCGAGUGGUCGGGACGAUUAUUGGGCCUAAAGCCUCCGUAGCCGGUUCUACAAGUCUUCCGUUAAAUCCACCUGCUUAACAGAUGGGCUGCGGAGGAUACUAUGGAGCUAGGAGGCGGGAGAGGCAAGCGGUACUUAGUGGGUAGGGGUAAAAUCCGUUGAUCCAUUGAAGACCCCCAGUGGCGAAGGCGGCUUGCCAGAACGCACUCGACGGUUAGGGAUGAAAGCGGGGGGAGCAAACCGG